CAAUAGCGUAUAUUAAAGUUGUUGCAGUUAAAAGCUCGUAGUUGGAUUUCUGGGAGGGUGCCGAUGUCCACUUAACGUGUGCGCAGCGGCGCCCUCUCAUCCUUCUGUUAGCGUCUCUUGGCAUUCAUUUGCUGGUGGCGGGCUCAGAUAUUUUACCUUGAGAAAAUUAGAGUGUUCAGGCAGGCUUUCGCCGGAAUACAUUAGCAUGGAAUAAUGGAAAAGGACUUCAACCUCUUCUGUUGGUCUGAGAGGCUGUAGUAAUGAUUAAUAGGGAUAGUGGGGGCAGUUAGUACUUAACUGUCAGAGGUGAAAUUCUCCGAUUUGUUAAAGACUAACUUAUGCGAAAGCAUUUGCCAAGGAUGUUUUCAUUAAUCAAGAACGAAAGUUAGGGGAUCAAAGACGAUCAGAUACCA
rnacentral:rRNA from 1 species